UUUCCUACCUGGACCACAUCACUCUUACAUAAGACCUGUGCCUCUUCUUCAGAGGUGGAGAGGAGCACCAACGCAAGUAAACGCCUCGUACUCGCUUUGUUUUUGCCAUUACAAUGAGCCAGUCCUCCCACCAGCCUCCACUGUGUGCUACUAAUCCUACGCUACGGAAACACCAAAGCUCAAGAGUUAAUGGGCAAGACAAAUAAGUUGUUUGACCACUACAGUUGGGAGUGCCCUCACUGCUAUCCGCAUACGUCUGGAAUACAUCUGCCAUGGGUGAUAGGAGAAAGGAAGAGGGGAUGAGAGGAGAUGUUGCCUAGAAAAGAAGGGACUAUUUUCAACUUUAAAACACAGUUAAAGCAGGGAUCAGGACAGGAUGUGGUUGCCAACCUAAGCUCUGGUCCAAGGUCAUGCUGAACUGGAACAAUAUAAUCAGGGCUAGUUUUCCCUGUUCAGGGCCCGUAUCCACAAAGUGUCUCAGAGUAGGAAUGCUGAUCUAAGGAUCGGUCCAUAUAAUCUAAUUCAUUAUAAAUCUAAAAAGGAAAAACUGAUCCUAGAUCAUCUCUCUGAGACACUUUGUGGAUAUGGGCCCUGGUCUCUUGGUUAGGGACAACUCCUGCCCAUUAAAAUGUAAUGGUUUGGUUUGGUACGAGGUGAGAUUAUUCAAGGUAUUUUAUUCAAGGGUAUAUUUUAUCAAUGUGGCUAGGGUUGAUACAUUCCAGUAAUUUUCACUGGUUUUCCAGAAAUCUUGAUUGGAGGAUUCCCGGAUUUCAUCCUUAUUGGAAAACCAGGGAAUUUGGCGAAAGUUACCAGAAUUUUGAAAAACCUAAAUUUGGCAAUGUUUGGAGUAAACAAAUUACUUUAAAGCAUGGGCAUGUACCGUAUGGAACACUGUGUGGGAGUAAACGGAAAUAGUAGAGA